ACUCCUACGGGAGGCAGCAGUGGGGAAUAUUCGGCAAUGGGCGAAAGCCUGACCGAGCGACGCCGCGUGAGCGAAGAAGGCCUUCGGGUCGUAAAGCUCUGUCUAGUGGGACGAAACAAAUGACGGUACCACUGGAGGAAGCCACGGCUAACUACGUGCCAGCAGCCGCGGUAAUACGUAGGUGGCGAGCGUUGUCCGGAAUUACUGGGCGUAAAGGGCGCGUAGGCGGAUCGUUAAGUUGGACGUGAAAUACCCCGGCUCAACUGGGGGGCGACGUUCAAAACUGGCGGACUAGAGUGCAGGAGAGGAAAGUAGAAUUCCCAGUGUAGCGGUGAAAUGCGUAGAUAUUGGGAGGAAUACCGGUGGCGAAGGCGGCUUUCUGGACUGUAACUGACGCUGAGGCGCGAAAGCUGGGGGAGCGAACAGGAUUAGAUACCCUGGUAGUC
rnacentral:rRNA from 1 species